rnacentral:lncRNA from 1 species
GUUUACAAAAUCGCCCACACAUCUCCUUUUAUAAGGUUUACAACUUUGCAUUCUCAUAAACCUAAAUCUAAUGGAUAAUAUUAACUUGAGAUGAAUGGAAGGCUAGGAUGUAAGCUUGGUAUUGCAAUCUGUGCGAUGUCUUGUGAUUGGCUGAGGGCUGAUGAUGCUUCAUUGGUUGAUUUGAAUCUGUUCAAAGGGAAGGCUUGCCUCUGAUUGGAUAAUCCUAGGCGCCUCCUAAUGUAGCCUCUCUUGUGUCCAGAUUCAUGAUCAGUAUCCAGCCAAGGGACAGCUCACGCCAGCUCACUCCUUGCUGUGCCUUAUCCACAAGUGGUCCCAACAUUCAAACUCAGACAUUGGCGCCCUUGAUCAGAACAUACUCCUUUGCUUCCAUUUAAAUCCGCUCAUGAGUUUCUUCUUCCUUGGGGCGCAAGUUAGGCUGAUCACAAACCUUAGAGCAUGUACGGAUCAUGUCAUGUCCGUACAUAGACGCCCUAAGUUUGCACCAAGCCUAAGACUCACAAAUGGCCGAGUAUACACCUUUGGUACGUCCACCAUCCGUACUGAUUCAUACUAGGCC